rnacentral:rRNA from 1 species
CGAUGAUGGGUAGCCGGCCUGAGAGGGUGAACGGCCACAAGGGGACUGAGACCCGGCCCUUACUCCUACGGGAGGCAGCAGUGGGGAAUAUUGGACAAUGGACCAAAGUCUGAUCCAGCAAUUCUGUGUGCACGAUGAAGUUUUUCGGAAUGUAAAGUGCUUUCAGUUGGGAAGAAGAAAGUGACGGUACCAACAGAAGAAGCGACGGCUAAAUACGUGCCAGCAGCCGCGGUAAUACGUAUGUCGCAAGCGUUAUCCGGAUUUAUUGGGCGUAAAGCGCGUCUAGGCGGUUUGGUAAGUCUGAUGUGAAAAUGCGGGGCUCAACUCCGUAUUGCGUUGGAAACUGCCAAACUAGAGUACUGGAGAGGUAGGCGGAACUACAAGUGUAGAGGUGAAAUUCGUAGAUAUUUGUAGGAAUGCCGAUGGGGAA